UACGGGGGGGGCAAGCGUUUGUUCGGAAUUACUGGGCGUAAAGGGCUCGUAGGCGGCCAACUAAGUCAGACGUGAAAUCCCCAGGCUUAACCUGGGAACUGCGUCUGAUACUGGAUGGCUUGAAUUCGGGAGAGGGAUGCAGAAUUCCAGGUGUAGCGGUGAAAUGCGUAGAUAUCUGGAGGAACACCGGUGGCGAAGGCGGCAUCCUGGACCGACACUGACGCUGAGGAGCGAAAGCCAGGGGAGCAAACGGG
rnacentral:rRNA from 1 species